rnacentral:ncRNA from 1 species
CUACGAACUUGAUCGAAUUGAGCCUUGGUAUGGAAACCUACCAAGUGAUAGCUUCCAAAUCCAGGGAACCCUAAGAUAUUUUGAAUGGGUAAUCCUGAGCCAAAUCUGGUUCAUGGAGACAAUAGUUUCUUCUUUUAUUCUCCUAAUAUAGGAAGGGGAUAGGUGCAUAGACUCAAUGGAAUCUAUUCUAACGAAUGAAUCUCAUUUGGUCCAAUACUGUAUUUAUAGAACGCUCUAUUUACACCUAAAAUGUGGGAAUGUGAUAUAACAUCAG